GGCAGUAUAGCUCAGUGGUAAGAGUGCCUGCCUCACAUACACAAGGCCCUGGGUUCAAUCUCUAGCACUGCCA
rnacentral:tRNA from 1 species